rnacentral:ncRNA from 2 species
AAAAGUGAAUAUCUCUGAGCUUAGGACUCCUGUGGAUUUUGCUAUGGAGCUUAAGCCGAUAGGGUAUUACGGGAAACUGUAAUGCCUCCCAUUGUGGAAAGGAGUUAAUAUAUACAGUUC